CUUGCUUGGCUUCCUCUGGAACAUUCCUGCUGACAGAUGGGCGGAGCGGUUAUCAUAUGAGACUUACAGAGAUCUCUGUGGGAAACAAGUCAGUUCAGACAUGAAUCACGACGUGCCUUCACAACAUUGAAGAGGAGCAUUAGCAAAGAAAAUGGUUUAAAUGUAAGUGUGACUAUGAAGAAGAGCCCACCCCUUUUUCUCUGAUGAGCAAUGCGUUGGUUGCAUCACACAGUAACAGCAGCAUUCAGAGGUCAACGGUCACACCAAGAAACGGGGCAAUGACUCGACAUCACAACGAUUUGGAGCGAGGCAUUCAAACAUAUCAACGUGUAGUCAUGAAGAAUGGCAAACCUGUUGAAACCGAAGAAUUCAGGUUUUAUUCAACUGAUUAAAGGAUACUUGAAAAAUACAGAAGAGCAGUUUUAAUGUAAUUAAAAUGUUGUGGGGUCUUUCUGUGCUGAAAUAUAGAAUACAUCAAAUUAUGAUGACUGUUGUCUCAAUGCUUUAUCUAAAUUAGAUGAUCAUGCUGUCUACUAACUAUUUGCUUUACUGUUCUUGUACAUUGCUUUACUAUACUUGUACUUUUACUUUAC